AGUCGAGCGGACAGAUGGGAGCUUGCUCCCUGAUGUUAGCGGCGGACGGGUGAGUAACACGUGGGUAACCUGCCUGUAAGACUGGGAUAACUCCGGGAAACCGGGGCUAAUACCGGAUGCUUGUUUGAACCGCAUGGUUCAAACAUAAAAGGUGGCUUCGGCUACCACUUACAGAUGGACCCGCGGCGCAUUAGCUAGUUGGUGAGGUAACGGCUCACCAAGGCAACGAUGCGUAGCCGACCUGAGAGGGUGAUCGGCCACACUGGGACUGAGACACGGCCCAGACUCCUACGGGAGGCAGCAGUAGGGAAUCUUCCGCAAUGGACGAAAGUCUGACGGAGCAACGCCGCGUGAGUGAUGAAGGUUUUCGGAUCGUAAAGCUCUGUUGUUAGGGAAGAACAAGUACCGUUCGAAUAGGGCGGUACCUUGACGGUACCUAACCAGAAAGCCACGGCUAACUACGUGCCAGCAGCCGCGGUAAUACGUAGGUGGCAAGCGUUGUCCGGAAUUAUUGGGCGUAAAGGGCUCGCAGGCGGUUCCUUAAGUCUGAUGUGAAAGCCCCCGGCUCAACCGGGGAGGGUCAUUGGAAACUGGGGAACUUGAGUGCAGAAGAGGAGAGUGGAAUUCCACGUGUAGCGGUGAAAUGCGUAGAGAUGUGGAGGAACACCAGUGGCGAAGGCGACUCUCUGGUCUGUAACUGACGCUGAGGAGCGAAAGCGUGGGG
rnacentral:rRNA from 1 species